CGGACCGGCGCACGGGUGAGUAACGCGUAUGCAACUUACCUAUCAGGAGGGGGAGUACCGGCGAAAGUCGGACUAAUACCGCAUAAAGCAGGGAUCCCGCAUGGGAAUAUUUGCUAAAGAUUCAUCGCUGAUAGAUAGGCAUGCGUUCCAUUAGGCAGUUGGCGGGGUAACGGCCCACCAAACCGACGAUGGAUAGGGGUUCUGAGAGGAAGGUCCCCCACAUUGGUACUGAGACACGGACCAA
rnacentral:rRNA from 1 species